rnacentral:pre_miRNA from 1 species
AGGAGGAACAACCCCAGUGGCGUCGGCCAGCUGUGGAGCCCUGGAGUCAGCUCCCGCAGUAACUCCAGAGCUCUCCGUCUGCAGGGCCUGGAGGCUCCGGGGCGGG